GACGAACGCUGGCGGCGUGCUUAACACAUGCAAGUCGUACGGUAAGGCCCUUUCGGGGGUACACGAGUGGCGAACGGGGGAGUAACACGUGAGUAACCUGCCCACAACUUUGGGAUAACGCUAGGAAACUGGUGCUAAUACUGGAUAUGUGCUCCUGCUUCAUGGUGGGGGUUGGAAAGCUCCGGCGGGUGUGGAUGGACUGGCGGCCUAUCUGCUUGUUGGUGGGGUAGUGGCCUACCAAGGCGGCGACGGGUAGCCGGCCUGGGAGGGUGACCGGCCACAUUGGGACUGAGAUACGGCCCAGACUCCUACGGGAGGCAGCAGUGGGGAAUAUUGCACAAUGGGCGCAAGCCUGAUGCAGCAACGCCGCGUGCGGGAUGACGGCCUUCGGGUUGUAAACCGCUUUCAGCAGGGACGAAGCUUUUUGUGACGGUACCUGCAGAAGAAGCACCGGCUAACUACGUG
rnacentral:rRNA from 1 species